CCAGCAGGAAGAUGAGCAAGACUGAGAGGAGAUUUGAUUCAAGCUGAAAGAGACCGGGGAGGUGCAGGACUUGAGGAAGAAACUAGACAUGUGAGAGCUGUGGCCCUGCAGAUGGGAGAGGGGGUACAAGUGGAGGCCAUUCUAGUGGGUGAUUUCCUUCAGAUUAAGACAGGUAGUAUGUAUAUGGGGCAGGAGGAGAAGGGCAUGGAUGGGAUCAGUAAAGAGGAAGACCUCCAGCCAAGGAUGUCAUUUUCUGAAGAAACCAACCCAGGGUAGGAAGGCAUGAGCGUGAUGAAGUACAUGGAGACAAAGACAAAGCAAAGGAAAGGGCUCCUGGACCACAGGAACAGAAAAUCAAACUGAAGAGUGCAGAGGACUGUCUCUAUGAACUUUCAGAAAACACAUGUUUGCUCCUCAAAGAAGGCCAAGGAGAUGCUUCCCACCCAAUGCUGGGUGCAUCCCAAGGUGGAUGUCUGCACUGAUGCUGAAAUAGAAUGCAUUGCCACCAAGGAAGCUAAAGCCUGGCUGCUAGCAGAGGAUCAGAAUAAGAAGAAAGACAUUGAGACAUCUUGUGUGCACCAACAUGUGUGAUUAUGUGUGGUACCACCCAUUUGAUCCCAACGGCUCAAUGCCCUCACAGAGAGAAACAAAGAAGAGUCCAAGGCCUGGCCCUAGAGUGGAUGACACCAAGAAGCCUAAGCAGUCCCUUCCAAAUCACCAGUGUCCUGCUAAAGAGAAGGCCACCGAUGCCCAUCACCAUGAAGAGUUCAAGAAAAACGAACAG
rnacentral:lncRNA from 1 species